AGAGUUUGAUCAUGGCUCAGAACGUACGCUGGCGGCACGCCUUAUACAUGCAAGUCGAACGAAGUAGCAAUACUUAGUGGCAGACGGGUGAGUAACAUGUAGGUAUCUGCCCUUUGGCCUGGAAUAACACGAGGAAACUUGUGCUAAUACCGGAUAAGUCUUUACGGAGAAAGCUUUAUGCACCAUUGGAUGAGCCUGCACUUGAUUAGUUUGUUGGUGGGGUAAUGGCCUACCAAGACAAUGAUCAAUAGCUGAUUUGAGAGGAUGAUCAGCCACAUUGGAACUGAGACACGGUCCAAACUCCUACGGGAGGCAGCAGUAGGGAAUCUUGCACAAUGGAGGAAACUCUGAUGCAGCGAUGCCGCGUGAGUGAAGAAGGCCUUUGGGUUGUAAAGCUCUUUCGUCGGGGAAGAAAAUGACUGUACCCGAAUAAGAAGGUCCGGCUAACUUCGUGCCAGCAGCCGCGGUAAUACGAAGGGACCUAGCGUAGUUCGGAAUUACUGGGCUUAAAGAGUUCGUAGGUGGUUAAAAAAGUUGGUGGUGAAAUCCCAGAGCUUAACUCUGGAACUGCCAUCAAAACUUUUUAGCUAGAGUAUGAUAGAGGAAAGCAGAAUUUCUAGUGUAGAGGUGAAAUUCGUAGAUAUUAGAAAGAAUACCAAUUGCGAAGGCAGCUUUCUGGAUCAUUACUGACACUGAGGAACGAAAGCAUGGGUAGCGAAGAGGAUUAGAUACCCUCGUAGUCCAUGCCGUAAACGAUGUGUGUUAGACGUUGGAAAUUUAUUUUCAGUGUCGCAGCGAAAGCAAUAAACACACCGCCUGGGGAGUACGACCGCAAGGUUAAAACUCAAAUGAAUUGACGGGGACCCGCACAAGUAGUGGAGCAUGUGGUUUAAUUCGAAGAUACGCGCAGAACCUUACCAACACUUGACAUGUUUGUCGCGACUCUAAGAGAUUAGAGUCUUCGGUUCGGCCGGACAAAACACAGGUGCUGCAUGGCUGUCGUCAGCUCGUGUCGUGAGAUGUUGGGUUAAGUCCCGCAACGAGCGCAACCCUUACUUUUAGUUGCUACCAUUUAGUUGGGCACUCUAAAAGAACUGCCAGUGAUAAGCUGGAGGAAGGCGGGGAUGACGUCAAGUCCUCAUGGCCCUUACGUGUUGGGCUACACACGUGCUACAAUGGUACUUACAGUGAGAAGCGAAGAGGCGACUCUAAGCCAAUCCCAAAAAGGUACCUCAGUUCGGAUUGUACUCUGCAACUCGAGUACAUGAAGCUGGAAUUACUAGUAAUCGCGGAUCAGCGCGCCGCGGUGAAUACGUUCCCGGGUCUUGUACACACCGCCCGUCACACCAUGGAAGUUGGUUACACCUUAAGGCAAAGCUUAAAACCUUUGACUACGGUACGAUCAGCGACUGGGGUGAAGUCGUAACAAGGUAGCC
rnacentral:rRNA from 1 species